rnacentral:rRNA from 1 species
UACAGAGGUCUCAAGCGUUGUUCGGAUUCAUUGGGCGUAAAGGGUGCGUAGGUGGCGGGGCAAGUCUGGUGUGAAAUCCCGGGGCUCAACCCUGGAACUGCACUGGAUACUGCUUUGCUAGAGUACUGGAGAGGGAACUGGAAUUUACGGUGUAGCAGUGAAAUGCGUAGAUAUCGUAAGGAAGACCAGUGGCGAAGGCGAGUUCCUGGACAGUUACUGACACUGAGGCAGCGGAAGGCCAGGGGAGCAAACGGG